UACGGUGGCCCACAAGUAUCACGGCAAAUAUUUUUAAAAUUACGUUAACAUAAAGUUCAAAUUGACUGCAAAACAAAAUUUAUUGAACGGAUAAUCUUUAUAUUUACUAAAAUAAAAAGUCACGGCAAACUAAAAACUCACGGCAAACUAAAAACUCAUGGCAAAAUAAAAACUCACGGCAAAAUAAAAACUCACGGCAAAAUAAAAACUCACGGCAAAAUAAAAACUCACGGCAAAAUAAAAACUCACGGCAAAAUAAAAACUCACUGCAAAAUAGAAACUCACGGCAAAAUAAACACUCACGGCAAAAUAAAAACUCACGGCAAAAUAAAAACUCACGGCAAAAGUCACUCACGCAAUGUUUCCACUUUGGAG